GCUCGUAAAACGUUGGAAAGCAGAAAUAAAAGAAUCUGUAGUCAAACUAUGAGCUACUUCUAUGUGAACAGCUCUUGUUGUAAGACAUGUAAAAAGGCAACCGUAUCUUUUAACGACUGAACGUCCAACUUUAACAUUUAAUGGACCAAAGUAGUCUAUUCCAACAAAGGUAAAUGGUGGUUUAUCAGGAGUUUUCUGAUCGUCUAUAACAGAAGCCAUCUUCUGAAAACAAAGCGGUGCUUGAUAUCGUCUACAUCUUACACACCUGUUCAAAACUGUUCGGACAGUACUAGGUCCUUUUAAAAUCCAAUACUUUUCCCGUAAUGAUGCUAGCACUUGUGCCAUUCCUGUAUGACCAUUUUGUUCGUGAAACGACCUGAUUAUUAAAGUGUUCACGUGAUGAGAAUUUGGUAUAAUGACCGGACAUUUGCUUAGUGACAAGU
rnacentral:lncRNA from 1 species